rnacentral:lncRNA from 1 species
AUACCACCUAUGUGGUUUCACACUUUCUCUCUUUAGUACUUGUGAUUUAAAGUGUAUCAAUGUAGUGUCACGUGAUUUUAUUUUUAUCUUUUUAUUAUCUAUUUCACUAAUUUUUUUGUUAAAUCAGUGAGAAAGUUAAAACUAAAAGGUACUAAAGUAAAUAUUUGAUAAACCUAGGUAGGAUGUCUGAAGCUUUUUGUAUACAAAUUAACGAAAUAUUAACGAAAAAGUUGAUAAAACGAUAAAAAUUAAACCACCGGACACUAACUAGAUACACUUUUAAAACCACAGGGCACUAAAGUAAGAAAGUGCGAAACCUUGGGAGUAGUAUUUGAAAUUUACCCUUAUAUUUAUAAUAAUUUUUAGGGCUAAUUUCAUAUAGGUCCCUGCAAGUAUAGUGAAUUAUAAGCAUAUUCCUACAAAGUUCAACUUUCAUAUGUUGUUACUGUAAAAGUCUUAAUGUUUUUAAAUAUGUCCCUUUAGUUUGUUAUCGUUAAAAUACUAUUUAUUUUAUAAAUAAAAUGACUUUUUUGCUAUCACAAAUAUAUUCCUCCAAAAGUCGCAACUAUUUAUAAAAAAGGGGUGAAAAGAUUAAUUCAUCUCAUUAACUAGCUAGGGUUAAGUAUUUUAUCUGUGGUUAAAUAAUUUUUUCUAACGGAUCUUAACGACAGGGACAUAUUUGAAAACAUCAAGACUUUUGCAUAGACAAUAUAUAAAAGUUAAACUUGUAGGGAUAUAUUUAUAAUUCAUUAUAUUUGUAGGGACUUAUGUAAAUUUAACCCUAAUUUUUAUUACUAUAUAUAUAUAU